GAUGAACGCUGGCGGCGUGCCUAAUACAUGCAAGUCGAGCGAACGGACGAGAAGCUUGCUUUUCUGAUGUUAGCGGCGGACGGGUGGGUAACACGUGGAUAACCUACCUAUAAGACUGGGAUAACUUCGGGAAACCGGAGCUAAUACCGGAUAAUAUUUUGAACCGCAUGGUUCAAAAGUGAAAGACGGUCUUGCUGUCACUUAUAGAUGGAUCCGCGCUGCAUUAGCUAGUUGGUAAGGUAACGGCUUACCAAGGCAACGAUGCAUAGCCGACCUGAGAGGGUGAUCGGCCACACUGGAACUGAGACACGGUCCAGACUCCUACGGGAGGCAGCAGUAGGGAAUCUUCCGCAAUGGGCGAAAGCCUGACGGAGCAACGCCGCGUGAGUGAUGAAGGUCUUCGGAUCGUAAAACUCUGUUAUUAGGGAAGAACAUAUGUGUAAGUACCUGUGCACAUCUUGACGGUACCUAAUCAGAAAGCCACGGCUAACUACGUG
rnacentral:rRNA from 1 species